rnacentral:lncRNA from 1 species
AGAAGUAGCAUGCAUAUAGGAAAGGAAGCCAGAGUGAGAUUUCCCACAUAGCAGUGAUCUUACCUGACAUAUUUUAAAAGAACACUUGGUUUUGAGGGGCUGAGAAUCCACUGUGAGAGGUAGGACAAAAAGGCCUAGUUAGUAUGGGGAGGCAAUCACUGCAGUUCAUAUGAGAGGUUCAAGUGGGUAAUGGGAAGGGCUUGAGAUUAGACACCAACACUGUCUGAGGGUGAGGCCUAGCAUCUGCCGAUGCUAGAUGUGAGAGAGAAAUUGAAAGCCACACAUAAAGGCUUUUGGCUGAGAUAUGGAGAACUAUGAGAGGACCAGACUUGGGGUGCUAAGUAGCUAGACUCACAAGUAGUUUUAGACAUGAAUUCAGAGACACUAUUGACUGUCCAAGUGGAACAGUGAAGUGGGUAGAGAGGAAAGAACCUGGUGUUCAGGAGGGGCCUGGAUUAAAGGAAUGGAAGAAUAAUCUAUAAAUGGUCCUUCAAGGCACAGCAACCUGGAUAGCACCAAGACAGGAACAGUGAGAGGAGAGCCAGGAUCUGACUCCAGCCGCUCCAACAAAAGGAAGCAAUUAGGCACAGAAAGCAGCCAAGUUCUUAGCACUGGCCUUUGGGUCUCUGCAGAUGUGGAAGUCAUCAGUUUGGGCAGACACUAGGCAUAUGCUGAGUCAGAAUGUCAUGACAAGCAGUGGAGGGGAGUUAGAGAUGAUGUGUCUAAGCACCUCUGUGGGCUUGGGGUGGGGCUAUUAUGCUGCUGGUGGACCGUGAGCUUGAAAGUUGUAUGGUCAGCCUUAAAAGACAGAUUUCACCUAGGGGAUGGUAGCACAUACCUUUAAUCCCAGCACUCAGGAGGCAGAGGAGAGGGAUCUCAGAGUCUGUGGCCAGCUUGGUCUACAGAGAGUUCCAGGACAGCCAGGGCUACCCAGAGAAACCCUGUCCUGUCUGAAAAAGCC